rnacentral:rRNA from 1 species
AGAGAUUUGGGAGUGCUCGAAAGAGAACCAUCACACAGGUGCUGCAUGGCUGUCGUCAGCUCGUGUCGUGAGAUGUUGGGUUAAGUCCCGCAACGAGCGCAACCCUUGUCAUUAGUUGCUACGAAAGGGCACUCUAAUGAGACUGCCGGUGACAAACCGGAGGAAGGUGGGGAUGACGUCAAGUCCUCAUGGCCCUUAUGGGUAGGGCUUCACACGUCAUACAAUGGUACAUACAGAGGGCCGCCAACCCGCGAGGGGGAGCUAAUCCCAGAAAGUGUAUCGUAGUCCGGAUUGGAGUCUGCAACUCGACUCCAUGAAGUUGGAAUCGCUAGUAAUCGCGGAUCAGCAUGUCGCGGUGAAUACGUUCCCGGGUCUUGUACACACCGCCCGUCACACCAUGGGAGCGGGUUUUACCAGAAGUGGGUAGCCUAACCGCAAGGAGG